rnacentral:rRNA from 1 species
UACGAAGGGUGCAAGCGUUAGUCGGAAUUACUGGGCGUAAAGCGUGCGUAGGCGGUCUCUUAAGUCCGUUGUGAAAGCCCUGGGCUCAACCUGGGAACUGCGUCCGAUACUGGAUGGCUUGAAUUCGGGAGAGGGAUGCAGAAUUCCAGGUGUAGCGGUGAAAUGCGUAGAUAUCUGGAGGAAUACCGGUGGCGAAGGCGGCAUCCUGGACCGACAUUGACGCUGAGGAGCGAAAGCUAGGGGAGCAAACGGG